AACCCAAACAAACAGUGAUGUGUCUCCACUCCGCAUCGGUCAGUCUGAGAUGUGGUAUUUCCUUGUAAGUAACUGAUACCCAUGUCACCUCAGUGUUCUUGCGGGGACUGGGAGCCACGUCAGACUCCCAGUAGCUAGCAGAUAAGCCAGACCUUACAAAACCACAUGGGGGAGGAGAAGCUGCAGACAUUCAUCAGCUUUGCUCUGCACUACAUGCCCUCCCUCACUCUGCCUGUGAAGCAUGGCACCUUCAUUGAGUUCCACAAUGGCCUGAUUAACGUGUGUCCUGUCAGCUGCAGCUGAUCCCAGGAGAAAUGCGAUCAGUUUGGGGAAUGUGACAAAAUUCACCACGUCAGGGAGAAGUUUGUGAAAGCUUUGGAGGAAGAGUUUCCUGACUCUGGCUUGAUGUUCUCCUUAUGCAAUUGGCCAGAUUAGCUUUGAUGUGUUCCCCAAGAGCUGGGACAAGACCUACUGUUUACAAUAUGUAGAAAAUGGCUUUAAGCCAGUCUGCCCAGCUCCACUCCAUCCCCAGUCACACCAGAGCCACCAGCCAACAUCUUUGACUCAGACUCUGAGUGACAAGCAAAAGUACACUAGCAGUUCAGUGCAUAAUGUUAUGUUAGCUCUUAUGUGACCAGUGUGUUGUGUACAGUUAAAUGAGCUCUUAAGUGAUCACUGUAGUUGUGUGAUUUUAAGUAAACUCUUAAGUGACCAGUUAGUGCAUUGUGUACAGUGUGUAAUAACAAAAUAUGCUGUAAAUAUGUAUAAUGGGGCUUAUAAUGUGCUAGCAAAUAUGCUGUAAAUAACUACAAACAUACAUGUUUAUAUGCAUAGAAACUGGCCAAAAACAUGUAUUGUCAGAUAAACAAAACUUUCAGAUAAAC